CUGGUUGAUCCUGCCAGUAGUGAUAUGCUUGUUUCAAAGAUUAAGCCAUGCAUGUCUAAGUAUAAGCGAACUUAUACAGUGAAACUGCGGAUGGCUCAUUAAAACAGUUUGAAUUUAUUUGAUGAAUGUAUGAGAAUACUACUUGGAUAACCGUAGUAAUUCUAGAGCUAAUACAUGCAACGACGCCCGACCGUUUCACUACGGAAGGGCUGUAUUUAUUGGAUACCAAAACCAUCCUUCCCUCGGGAAGUUUUGUUUGAUGAUUCACAAUAACUGAUCGGAUCGCCACUGUGGUGGCGACAGGUCAUUCAACAUUCUGCCCUAUCAGCUUUCGAUGGUUGUGUAGUGGACAACCAUAGCCAUAACGGGUAACGGAGAAUCAGGGUUCGAUUCCGGAGAAGGAGCUUGAGAAUUGGCUACUACAUCUAAGGAAGGCAGCAGGCGCGCAAAUUACCCAAUCCCGAUUCGGGGAGGUAGUGACAAAAAAUAACAAUACCGGGCCUUUUUGGGCUUGGUAAUUGGAAUGAGGGAGAGUUAAACGGACCAUCGAGUAUCCAUUGGAGGGCAAGUCUGGUGCCAGCAGCUGCGGUAAUACCAGCUCCAAUAGCGUAUAUUAAAGUUGUUGCAGUUAAAAAGCUCGUAGUUGGACUUGUGUGCGCUGUCCGCGGGUGGCCUGCGCCCAAAAGGGCGUUUCGGUUCGGCCCCGGUGGCGCCUUGAAAUCUGCAGCUGGGGGGACGUUGGCCUUAACUGGUCGGCGACCGCACGCCGGCUGCUCGGUUACUGUGAGAAAAUUAGAGUGUUCAAGGCAGGCAUUGGGUGCAAUUGAAUACAUUAGCAUGGAAUAAUAAAAUAUGGCUCCUGCCGUAUUUUGUUGGUUUUGACUGGUGGGAGUAAUGAUUGAUAGGGACGGUUGGGGGUGCUAGUAUUGAGCGGCCAGAGGUGAAAUUCAUGGAUUCGCUCAAGACUAACUUAUGCGAAAGCAUUCACCAAGGACGUCCUCUUUAAUCAAGAACGAAAGUUGGGGGAUCGAAGACGAUCAGAUACCGUCGUAGUCUCAACCAUAAACUAUGUCGACUUGGGAUCGGCGGUAGUUUUUUCAUUAAGACACUGUCGGGACCACGGGAGAAAUCAAAGUGUCUGGACUCUGGGGGAAGUAUGGUCGCAAGGCUGAAACUUGAAGGAAUUGACGGAAGGGCACCACCAGGAGUGGAGCCUGCGGAUU
rnacentral:rRNA from 1 species